rnacentral:tRNA from 1 species
GCUCAUAUAGUUUAAAAAAAACAAUAAAUUGUGGCUUUAUAAAUGCCUAUCGCUAUGAGCC